UACGUAGGGGGCAAGCGUUGUCCGGAAUCAUUGGGCGUAAAGAGCGUGUAGGCGGCUUGGUAAGUCCGCUGUGAAAGUCCAGGGCUCAACCCUGGAAUGCCGGUGGAAACUGUCAAGCUUGAGUCCGGAAGAGGCGAGUGGAAUUCCGGGUGGAGUGGUGAAAUGCGUAGAGAUCCGGAGGAACACCAAAGGCGAAGGCAGUGUCCUGGGGAGUACCUGACGCUCAGGUGCGAAAGCCAGGGGAGCGAACGGG
rnacentral:rRNA from 1 species